rnacentral:rRNA from 1 species
UACGUAGGAGGCAAGCGUUGUCCGGAUUUACUGGGCGUAAAGAGCGUGUAGGCGGCCAAACAGGUCCGUUGUGAAAACUGGAGGCUCAACCUCCAGACGUCGACGGAAACCGUGUGGCUAGAGUCCGGAAGAGGAGAGUGGAAUUCCUGGUGUAGCGGUGAAAUGCGCAGAUAUCAGGAAGAACACCAAUGGCGAAGGCAGCUCUCUGGGACGGUACUGACGCUGAGACGCGAAAGCGUGGGGAGCGAACAGG